GACGGAGGGUGCAAGCGUUGUUCGGAAUCACUGGGCGUAAAGCGCGUGUAGGCGGUCCGAUAAGUCGGGUGUGAAAGCCCGGAGCUCAACUCCGGAAGCGCAUCCGAAACUGCCGGGCUUGAGUACGGGAGAGGGAAGUGGAAUUCCUGGUGUAGAGGUGAAAUUCGUAGAUAUCAGGUGGAACACCGGUGGCGAAGGCGGCUUCCUGGACCGAUACUGACGAUGAGACGCGAAAGAGUGGGGAGCAAACAGG
rnacentral:rRNA from 1 species